CAGUCGCCACGGUAAUACGGAGGGUGCAAGCGUUAAUCGGAAUUACUGGGCGUAAAGCGCACGCAGGCGGUUUGUUAAGUCAGAUGUGAAAUCCCCGAGCUUAACUUGGGAACUGCAUUUGAAACUGGCAAGCUAGAGUCUUGUAGAGGGGGGUAGAAUUCCAGGUGUAGCGGUGAAAUGCGUAGAGAUCUGGAGGAAUACCGGUGGCGAAGGCGGCCCCCUGGACAAAGACUGACGCUCAGGUGCGAUAGCGUGGGGAGCAAACAGGAUUAGAUACCCCAGUAGUCCCUGUCUCUUAUAC
rnacentral:rRNA from 1 species